AUUGAACGCUGGCGGCAUGCCUUACACAUGCAAGUCGAACGGCAGCACGGGAGCAAUCCUGGUGGCGAGUGGCGAACGGGUGAGUAAUAUAUCGGAACGUGCCCAGUCGUGGGGAUAACGUAGCGAAAGCUACGCUAAUACCGCAUACGAUCUAUGGAUGAAAGCGGGGGAUCGCAAGACCUCGCGCGAUUGGAGCGGCCGAUAUCAGAUUAGGUAGUUGGUGAGGUAAAGGCUCACCAAGCCGACGAUCUGUAGCUGGUCUGAGAGGACGACCAGCCACACUGGGACUGAGGACAACGGCCCAGACUCCUACGGGAGGCAGCAGUGGGAA
rnacentral:rRNA from 1 species